rnacentral:rRNA from 1 species
UACGAAGGGGGGCUAGCGUUGCUCGGAAUCACUGGGCGUAAAGGGUGCGUAGGCGGGUCUUUAAGUCAGGGGUGAAAUCCUGGAGCUCAACUCCAGAACUGCCUUUUGAUACUGAGGAUCUUGAGUUCGGGAGAGGUGAGUGGAACUGCGAGUGUAGAGGUGAAAUUCGUAGAUAUUCGCAAGAACACCAGUGGCGAAGGCGGCUCACUGGCCCGAUACUGACGCUGAGGCACGAAAGCGUGGGGAGCAAACAGG